UUUAUUUAUUUGGAUUUGCUUGACUAGUUAUUCUAUGAAAUAUUAUGAUGAAGAAGUUAGUUGCAAACAAUAGGAUCACAUAAAAAUAUCGUUCGGGAGAAUCUGAGUUCGAUUCCUGAUGGGAACAAUUCUUGGUCAGACUUUACUUACCUCGCGGCCUAAUUCUGGAUUACCAGAACCUCCUUCCCCUAGGAACCAGAGGGUUAAUAAAAAAUAAAAGGGUCACAAAGAAAUUGCUCCUCAAUAUACUUUGUUAACUCUUUAUACAUUUUAUGAAUUUCUUGAGUUACUU
rnacentral:lncRNA from 1 species